AUUUCAAUAAGGUUCCAAUCUCUAUUUAUUAAAAUUGUUGAACAGUGCAGUGUUAAACAAGUAAAAUGAAUUUGUAGUGAAACCUGGAGCCAGAUGUAGGCUAUCCAUCCAACAACAAAAUAAAGUCACCUUCAGGAGGAAUAUAAAAAUAAAAACUUAAAGUAAACAAAUCAAGUGCAAAAAGAGUAGCCUGUAUUUGCUUCUUUAACAGUAGGUAAGAUAACGAAUAAGCA